rnacentral:rRNA from 1 species
CCGGCGCACGGGUGAGUAACACGUAUCCAACCUGCCGUCUACUCUUGGACAGCCUUCUGAAAGGAAGAUUAAUACAAGAUGGCAUCAUGAGUUCACAUGUUCACAUGAUUAAAGGUAUUCCGGUAGACGAUGGGGAUGCGUUCCAUUAGAUAGUAGGCGGGGUAACGGCCCACCUAGUCUUCGAUGGAUAGGGGUUCUGAGAGGAAGGUCCCCCGCGUUGGAACUGAGACACGGUCCAA